AAGUCUUUUUUAAGAGAAAAUUAGAAAAAAGAGACAUCUUCAUCUUAGGUUUGUCACUCUAAGAUUUUUAGAAGAUGUUUUAGGAAAAUAAGAUUUUGAUUCCCUUUAAAUAUCAUAUUACCCUUAGUUUAGUUUGAAUUAUAAUUAUAAUCUAUAAUUUUUGUAAUUGAUUUUAAAUGUUAAAAUAUUAAAAGGUUAAUAAAAGAAAAGUAGACAAAAAGAAAGACAUGGGGUCGUCGUCUUCCAUAACGAUUUAGGGUUCAAUAGAGAACCUUGACAGAAAGAAGAAAGAUGAGGCAGAGAGAGAUGAGAGAUUGCAGGAGGAAGAACAGACCGGUCUAAGUUCGUGCCCUCGUCAUCGGUCUGAGAUCGUUUCCAUCGUCAUUGAUCUGAGUUCGUCUCCACCGCCGAUUUCUUGUUAGGGUUUCAUUGCAUCUCCUCAUCUCCGUCACACCUCGUUCUCUCUCUCGUCUCCGGUGGCAAGGCGGAGCAGCGUCGAAGGCGGUUCUCAUUGGUGGAUUCUAGCAAAGGGCAAGCAAUGGUUCGACAUUUGGUCUUCUCUUGUAUUGUUGUUGGUGGAAGGCACAAGUAUUUGAUUAACUACGGAAGACGUUUGAGGAUCGUGAGCAUGAGCUGCUAAGAGGAGGUAGCAAAAGCGUGGUCGUUAGCCUCUGGGACAUUAGGUUUAGAGGGUGUGUGACUGGAAGACGGCGACGUUAGAGAACUCGUUAUUACGACGUCGGUCGUGGUGUGGUGCGGGCGUAAGGAGAUAGAACUUUAGGUAUAGAAUUUUG